ACUUGUUUAGUAUAAAAGUAUAUUUGACUUCCAAUCAAAAGGAUUGGCUAAAAUAAGCCAAAAUAAGUA
rnacentral:tRNA from 1 species